CUAUUUUGCGGUAAACAUUCUCAAUACUUCUUACGGCCAUCGCACACAGUGCUGGGAUUACGCAUGCAAAGCGAACUCAUGCUUCUUACCGAGCUCGAAGGAAUCGGCGAUUAAACAGGCGGCCAUAUAGGAAGCGACGAAAACAGCAUGGCAGCAGACUUCCAGCGACAGCGACGCACGAUUCCCGGAAUGUUAAAUCGGUUGCUUAUCUUCAGAGCACUAUUGCUGAUUUCAGUCCUGGGAGCCUUGCUUUACAUUAUCACAUCAUUUGGCAGCCGAAUUGCCCCACCAAAGACGUCUGCGCCACCCACCACUGUGACUACCGAGUCUUCAGCUGACCAUGCCAGUAUCACCGGCACCGAUACAAUCUAUGCGUACGCUAUUUUGUAAUGUGAACAUAGUUUAACAAAAAAAAUGUCACCUGA